UACGUAGGGCGCAAGCGUUGUCCGGAAUUACUGGGCGUAAAGCGUGCGCAGGCGGUCUCGCAAGUCCGAUGUGAAAUCCCCGGGCUCAACCUGGGAACUGCGUUGGAAACUACGAGGCUGGAGUACGGCAGAGGGGGGUGGAAUUCCACGUGUAGCAGUGAAAUGCGUAGAUAUGUGGAGGAACACCGAUGGCGAAGGCAGCCCCCCUGGGCUAGUACUGACGCUCAUGCACGAAAGCGUGGGGAGCAAACAGG
rnacentral:rRNA from 1 species